rnacentral:rRNA from 1 species
AGUGAACGCUGGCGGUAGGCCUAACACAUGCAAGUCGAACGGCAGCACAGUAAGAGCUUGCUCUUACGGGUGGCGAGUGGCGGACGGGUGAGGAAUACAUCGGAAUCUACUUUUUCGUGGGGGAUAACGUAGGGAAACUUACGCUAAUACCGCAUACGACCUACGGGUGAAAGCAGGGGAUCUUCGGACCUUGCGCGAUUGAAUGAGCCGAUGUCGGAUUAGCUAGUUGGCGGGGUAAAGGCCCACCAAGGCGACGAUCCGUAGCUGGUCUGAGAGGAUGAUCAGCCACACUGGAACUGAGACACGGUCCAGACUCCUACGGGAGGCAGCAGUGGGGAAUAUUGGACAAUGGGCGCAAGCCUGAUCCAGCCAUACCGCGUGGGUGAAGAAGGCCUUCGGGUUGUAAAGCCCUUCUGUUGGGAAAGAAAAGCAGCAGGUUAAUACCCCGCUGUUCUGACGGUACCCAAAGAAUAAGCACCAGCUAACUUCGUG